rnacentral:snRNA from 1 species
GGAUGUGAGGGGGAAUUGGCUGUGACAUCUGUCACCUCAUUGAUCACCAGAGUUGAUUCAGCUGAUCUGGCCGGCUGGGCGGGUGUCCCCAUCCUUCCUCACUGCUGCAUGUAAGUCCCUCCCAAAGCUGUGUUCUGGGUCAAAGAGGAUGGCCUUCCCCAAAUAGAGAUGGACCAGUCUUUGGUGGAGGGUAUAUGGAGUAGCUGUGCUCCCCUGCUAGAACCUCCAAACAAGCUCUCAAAAUUAUUACAGAUAAGCAUGAUAUAUGAUCUAGCUUCUAGCACAGGAAGCUAAUUUUAUUAACCUGUCAUAUUUCAAACAUU